UGGCCUCUGACCUUGACAUUAGCCAGU
rnacentral:piRNA from 1 species